CACCCAUCACUCCAACCCAGUUUCCGGA
rnacentral:piRNA from 1 species